GAUGAACGCUGGCGGCGUGCCUAACACAUGCAAGUCGAACGGUUGAGGCCAGCUUGCUGGGUGGAUUAGUGGCGGACGGGUGAGUAACACGUGAGUAACUUGCCCUUGACUCUGGGUUACGUGCUGGAAACGGCGCUUAUUACCCGAUGCGCGCUUCCGCCGAAUUGUGGGUUGCUGGAACGACUUUCUGUCAGAGAUGGCCUCGCGGCCUAUCAGGUAGUUGGUGAUGUAACGGCACACCAAGCCGGCGACGGGUAUGCCGCCUGAGAGGGGUACCGGCCACACUGGGACUGAGGGAGGGACCAGACUCCUACGGGAGGCAGCGGUGGGGAAUAUUACACAACGAGCGCACGCCUGAGACAGCAGCGCCGGGUGAGGGACGAAGGCCUUCGGGUCAUAAACCGCUUUUAGCAGAGAAGAAGCGAUAGUGACGGUACCAACAGAAAAAGCACCGGCUAACUACGUG
rnacentral:rRNA from 1 species